rnacentral:rRNA from 1 species
UACGUAGGUGGCUAGCGUUGUCCGGAUUUACUGGGCGUAAAGAGCGCGCAGGCGGUCGUUCAAGUCGAGUGUGAAAGCCCCCGGCUCAACUGGGGAGGGUCACUCGAUACUGAUCGACUUGAAGGCGGGAGAGGGAAGCGGAAUUCCCGGUGUAGUGGUGAAAUGCGGUAGAUAUCGGGAGGAACACCAGUGGCGAAGGCGGC